GACGAACGCUGGCGGCGUGCUUAACACAUGCAAGUCGAACGGAAAGGUCUCUUCGGAGAUACUCGAGUGGCGAACGGGUGAGUAACACGUGGGCAAUCUGCCCUGCACUUCGGGAUAAGCCUGGGAAACUGGGUCUAAUACCGGAUAGGACCACGAGACGCAUGUCUUGUGGUGGAAAGCUUUUGCGGUGUGGGAUGGGCCCGCGGCCUAUCAGCUUGUUGGUGGGGUGACGGCCUACCAAGGCGACGACGGGUAGCCGGCCUGAGAGGGUGUCCGGCCACACUGGGACUGAGAUACGGCCCAGACUCCUACGGGAGGCAGCAGUGGGGAAUAUUGCACAAUGGGCGCAAGCCUGAUGCAGCGACGCCGCGUGGGGGAUGACGGCCUUCGGGUUGUAAACCUCUUUCACCAUCGACGAAGGUUUGGGUUUUCUCGGACUGACGGUAGGUGGAGAAGAAGCACCGGCCAACUACGUGC
rnacentral:rRNA from 1 species